GCUUAACGCGAAGAACCUUACCUACACUUGACAUACCUCUUGGGGCUUUCAGAGAUGAUUGCUUUCGGUUCGGCCGGGGAGGAUACAGGUGCUGCAUGGCUGUCGUUAGCUCGUGUCGUGAGAUGUUGGGUUAAGUCCCGCAACGAGCGCAACCCUUAUCGUAUAUUGCCAGCAUUUAGUUGGGCACUCAUGCGAGACUGCCGGUGUUAAGCCGGAGGAAGGUGGGGAUGACGUCAAGUCAUCAUGGCCCUUACGUGUAGGGCUACAAACGUACUACAAUGGUGGUGACAGUGGGCAGCGACGUCGCGAGGCGAAGCUAAUCCCCAAAAGCCAUCUCAGUUCAGAUUGUUCUCUGCAACUCGAGAGCAUGAAGUCGGAAUCGCUAGUAAUCGUGGAUCAGCAUGCCACGGUGAAUACGUUCCCGGGUCUUGUACACACCG
rnacentral:rRNA from 1 species